rnacentral:rRNA from 1 species
UACGUAGGGUGCAAGCGUUAGUCGGAAUUACUGGGCGUAAAGCGUGCGCAGGCGGUUAUGUAAGACAGAUGUGAAAUGCCCGGGCUUAACCUGGGAACUGCAUUUGUGACUGCAUGGCUAGAGUUUGGCAGAGGGGGGUAGAAUUCCACGUGUAGCAGUGAAAUGCGUAGAUAUGUGGAGGAACACCGGUGGCGAAGGCGGCAUUCUGGACCAUUACUGACGCUGAGGAGCGAAAGCCAGGGGAGCAAACGGG